rnacentral:rRNA from 1 species
UGCCUUCACAUGCAAGUCGAACGGCAGCGCGGACUUCGGUCUGUCGGCGAGUGGCGAACGGGUGAGUAAUGUAUCGGAACGUGCCUAGUAGCGGGGGAUAACUACUCGAAAGAGUGGCUAAUACCGCAUACGCCCUACGGGGGAAAGGGGGGGAUCGCAAGACCUCUCACUAUUAGAGCGGCCGAUAUCGGAUUAGCUAGUUGGUGAGGUAAAGGCUCACCAAGGCGACGAUCCGUAGCUGGUUUGAGAGGACGACCAGCCACACUGGGACUGAGACACGGCCCAGACUCCUACGGGAGGCAGCAGUGGGGAAUUUUGGACAAUGGGGGAAACCCUGAUCCAGCCAUUCCGCGUGUGCGAUGAAGGCCUUCGGGUUGUAAAGCACUUUUGGCAGGAAAGAAAUCGCACCAAUUAAUACCUGGUGUGGAUGACGGUACCUGCAGAAUAAGCACCGGCUAACUACGUGCCAGCAGCCGCGGUAAU